rnacentral:rRNA from 1 species
UACGAAGGGGGCUAGCGUUGCUCGGAAUCACUGGGCGUAAAGCGCACGUAGGCGGUCUUUUAAGUCAGGGGUGAAAUCCUGGAGCUCAACUCCAGAACUGCCUUCGAUACUGGGAGUCUUGAGUUCGGGAGAGGUGAGUGGAACUGCGAGUGUAGAGGUGAAAUUCGUAGAUAUUCGCAAGAACACCAGUGGCGAAGGCGGCUCACUGGCCCGAUACUGACGCUGAGGUGCGAAAGCGUGGGGAGCAAACAGG